UUGGGGGUCGUCUAAUGGUAGGACCACAGACUUUGGAUCUGUGUAUCAUGGUUCGAAUCCAUGCCCCCAAG
rnacentral:tRNA from 1 species